ACGGGUGAGUAACGCGUGGGAAUCUACCCAUCUCUACGGAAUAACGCAUGGAAACGUGUGCUAAUACCGUAUACGCCCUACGGGGGAAAGAUUUAUCGGGGAUGGAUGAGCCCGCGUUGGAUUAGCUAGUUGGUGGGGUAAAGGCCUACCAAGGCGACGAUCCAUAGCUGGUCUGAGAGGAUGAUCAGCCACAUUGGGACUGAGACACGGCCCAAACUCCUACGGGAGGCAGCAGUGGGGAAUAUUGGACAAUGGGCGCAAGCCUGAUCCAGCCAUGCCGCGUGAGUGAUGAAGGCCUUAGGGUUGUAAAGCUCUUUCACCGGAGAAGAUAAUGACGGUAUCCGGAGAAGAAGCCCGGGCUAACUUCGUGCCAGCAGCCGCGGUAAUACGAAGGGGGCUAGCGUUGUUCGGAAUUACUGGGCGUAAAGCGCACGUAGGCGGACUUUUAAGUCAGGGGUGAAAUCCCGGGGCUCAAUCUCGGAACUGCCUUUGAUACUGGAAGUCUGGAGUAUGGAAGAGGUAAGUGGAAUUCCGAGU
rnacentral:rRNA from 1 species